rfam:Croceitalea dokdonensis DOKDO 023 contig1, whole genome shotgun sequence.
UCAGAGGCUUCAUUUGAAGCCACUUCCCAUACGGAUGCAAACGGCUU